AAUCAACGCUGGCGGCGCGCUUAACACAUGCAUGUCGCACGAGAAAGGGAGCAAUCCUGAGUAAAGUGGCGUACGGGUGAGUAACACGUGGGAAUCUACCUCUUGGCGGGGAAUAACCCUGGGAAACCGGGGCUAAUACCGCAUAAGCUCGUGAGAGGAAAGCAGCAAUGCACCGAGAGGGGAGCCCGCGGCCGAUUAGCUAGUUGGUGGGGUAAUGGCUCACCAAGGCGAAGAUCGGUAGCCGGCCUGAGAGGGCACACGGCCACACUGGCACUGAAACACGGGCCAGACUCCUACGGGAGGCAGCAGUGGGGAAUCUUGCACAAUGGGGGAAACCCUGAUGCAGCGACGCCGCGUGAGCGAUGAAGCCCUUCGGGGUGUAAAGCUCUUUCGACAGGAACGAUAAUGACGGUACCUGGAGAAGAAGCUGCGGCUAACUACGU
rnacentral:rRNA from 1 species